GGGAAGGUGGCUCAGUGGUAGAGCGCUUGCCUUGAAUGCAUGAGACCCUGGGUUCGAUUCCUCUUUUGCUUA
rfam:Dipodomys ordii contig_31115, whole genome shotgun sequence.